rnacentral:rRNA from 1 species
AACUUCGGGAGACGGAGGGCCCGACCCGGGUUGGGGGGUUGGCCCUGCGAGC